rnacentral:rRNA from 1 species
GAUCAUGGCUCAGGAUGAACGCUAGCUACAGGCUUAACACAUGCAAGUCGAGGGGCAGCAUUUUAGUUUGCUUGCAAACUGAAGAUGGCGACCGGCGCACGGGUGAGUAACACGUAUCCAACCUGCCGAUAACUCCGGAAUAGCCUUUCGAAAGAAAGAUUAAUACCGGAUGGCAUACGAAUAUCGCAUGAUUAUUUUUAAUUAAAGUAAUUUCGGUUAUCGAGUGGGGAUGCGUUCCAUUUAG